rnacentral:lncRNA from 1 species
AUGAAGUCAGCUGCAUGUUUGGAAAUUCCUCUUCUCUACCUGGAAAGUAGCCUGAGAUUGGCUCAAGCUGUCCUGGAGCAGCUUUGCCGUGUAAACAACCACUGGAAACACACCACUUCUGGAAACAUGGCUAUGCGAGAAGUGGGCUGUAGAAAGGCAGAGAAUGGCCGCCAGGCCCCCAGCUCAGGAGCUGGAGAAGAGGACCUGGCUAUGGGAAAAGUGGGCUGUGGAAAGGCAGAGAGCGGCCACCAGGCUCCCAGCUCAGGGGCUGGAGGAGAGGAAACUGGGAAGCAGGGGAGCCACCGGCUCUGGGGUUGGGGCCUGUGUAUGUGGGGAAUGGUGGUAGGGGUUCCCCGGCCUGUUUCAUUAAAUGGGAGGCAGAGACACAGAAUACACCAGCAAGGUGGUUUCUCUUGGCCCCCUGGAGGAGAUUUAUAAAGGUCUUUGCCAGCUAUAAAAAGGAAAGUAAAUGAGUUGAAUAUUGAGUAUUCAAUAAAAUUAAGAAAGUCCAAGAUGGAAAUAUAAAGAGAAAGGGGGGUUUGUAUGGCAUCUCCAACCCCCGAUGCCUCCAGCUCCCUCCUCCCAAAGCCCUCACCUUACAAACUCACCUUCACCUGCAGUUCUCUCCAAUGGGCCUCUCUCUGCCUUCCCUCAUGGAGGAGCUUGCCACGCUCUUACUCUCCUGGCUUUGGAAGCUCCCCCUAAAUUCAUUCAAAGAAACACACCCAAGAUUACAGAAGGGAAUAUUCCAACCAUGGGAAGGGUUUCAAAGCACAGAUACAGCUCAGCCUAGGAUAAUGUACACCUGGGCACACACAGAACUUCUGGGGAAGUUUCUUUUCUCCAACUCUAUCCUAAACCAGGAGACCCAACAGAAAAAUCCUCCGUUUUGGUCCUUAUGUGUUUCUCCAUUCACAUCCCACCUGCCUUCCCCUUUUGUACCCUUCCCUCCUCACCGCUCCUCCUGGCAUUCUUACCACUCUGGAUAGGGAAUGGAGACUCCUUGUGCAAAUGAAGGACAUUAACCCAGAGGAUGUGUGGAGAUUACUUUUUCAAUAUUGCUACUAGAUAUCUUCUGGUAUUGGGCCUCCCUGGUGCCUAAGACGGUAAAGCAUCUGCCUGUAGUGCGGGAGACCCUGGUUUGAUCCCUGGGUUGGGAAGAUCCCCUGGAGAAGNNNNNNNNNNNNNNNNNNNNNNNNNNNNNNNNNNNNNNNNNNNNNNNNNNNNNNNNNNAGGCUACAGUCCAUGGGGUCACAAAGAGUCAGACAUGACUGAGUGACUUCCCCUUUUGUACCCUUCCCUCCUCACUGCCCCUCCUGGCAAUCUCACCACUCUGGAUAGGGAAUGGAGACUUCUUGUGCAAAUGAAGGACACUGACCCAAAGGAUGCGUGGAGAUUACUUUUUCAAUAUUGCUAGUAAAUAUCUUCUGGUAUUAUCUGGGAUUAGGGCCGUACUUGUAGAAAAAGCAUCCCCAGAUAAAUGCUACAUAAACUGAUACCUCUGGAUUCAUAAUUUCCCUACUGCUUGUUACUGAUUCAUUUUUCAGUUAGGUAGUGAGUCCUUUACUAGGUCAAUUUUAAUUUUCUCAGACUUCCUUUCUCUGCAUGUAAUCCGCAGACCAAAGCUCAAGGAGGGGGAAAUCCAAAAUGAUGGAACCAGGGUGAAAUAUUCUGUCAUUUACUACUCUUCCCCUCUGAGGCUCCCCAGCCGUUNNNNNNNNNNNNNNNNNNNNNNNNNNNNNNNNCACACACACACACACACACACACACACACACACACACACACACCCUCUCCUGGGCUCCCCCCCAAAAUCCUCCAGUUGGUGGAAAUGGCAGCAGAACCCUAAUCUGGAGCCCAAGUUGAACCCUUCCACAGAGUCAAAACCACAACCAGGAAGCAUUUGCCCAGCACUCAGAUGUGCAAAACACAGCAGCACAGCAAGUUUUCCGUUUCAGACCUAACUCUGAUUCCUCCAGUGCAAACUGCCUCCUCACUUGCCUUUAAGGGUGUCAUUUCUGCAGUGAACUUUCUUGAAAAAUCACCCUUCUGUGAGUCUCCUUUUAGUAGAUCUCUCCCUGUCUUUCCCUUCUACUUGGCAACAGAAGGCAUUUCUGUCCCCCUUAGAGCACCCUGGCAUGACCCAGGGCUCCUGGGGGAAUUCUUCAAAGAAACAGGUUCUUGCUUGACCCCAACCUACUAACACAAAGAGUCCAUCACAGGAAGGCCCAGGUCUUGGCUGAGUGAGCCCAGCAUCGCCACCCACCAAGCACAGCUGCUCUGCUAAUUUUAGAACUCUGAGAAGCCACCUGACUUCAAGGCACUCAUGAGAUACUCAUCACACCCUAUAUCUGGAGCUGAUCUGGGGUGGGGCCCGCUCCUUGUUCUUCACACCCAGAACACCUUUGAGAGCUAGAAAAGUGACUUUGAGGGAGGCGACUCUGAAUAAAUGACAAAAAGAUAAAGCGACCCUCGAUCCGCUAGCAAACUGCAAAUUGUUUCAACCUGGUCGAGCUCCCAGCAUUGGACUGGUCUGUCCAGUGACCUGACCUCCACCUGACAUUCAGAUCCCACCUCCCAUUUCAUGUGUCUGAAGUGGGACUCACCAGCUUCCCCCAGACCCUUGCCUCCUGUCUGCUUGUCUGGGGCAUAUCCUGUUUCCCAAGUGAGGAUCCUCAGGUCAACACUGACUGCCUCCCCCUCCUCUCCAGUCACUAAAUAUAAAGUUCAAGCUACUUUAUCUCCUAACAGGGGUUCAUAAGCUUCUCCCCAUUCCCACAGUCUUUGCUCUCCAUCCUGUUCUCUUCAGGGAUUCCCAAGCGGCACAGUGGUAAAGAAUCCGUCUGCCAGUGCAGGAGACACAAGAGAUUUGGGUUCAAUCCCUGGGUCGGGAAGAUCCCCUGGAGGAGGAAAUGGCANNNNNNNNNNNNNNNNNNNNNNNNNNNNNNNNNNNNNNNNNNNNNNNNNNNNNNNNNNNNNNNNNNNNNNNNNNNNNNNNNNNNNNNNNNNNNNNNNNNCCCUGGGUCGGGAAGAUCCCCUGGAGGAGGAAAUGGCAACCCACUCCAGGGCUCUUGCCUGGAGAAUCCCAAGGACAGAGGAACCCGGCGGGCUACAGUCCAUGGGCUUGCAAAGAGUUGGCCAUGACUGAGCUCACACGCCUGUGCACAGGUUCUCUUCAGCCCUCACCUGCUCACUGUAACAGUUGCCGGCAGGCUCCCUGCCUACUUUUUCAUACUCUUAAGCCCAACUACCAAGGCCAUUUUUCUAAAACCACAUCUAUUUCUAGCUUAAACCCUUAAAGUUUUCCUGGCAGGCUCUCCACACUAUUUGCAUGUUAGAAUCACCUGGGCAGGGUAAAAAAAAAAAGUCAAUGCCCAGCUUCCCACCCCCAGAGAUUCUGAUUUGAUUGACAGGAUGGGACAAAGCAUCCAUAUUUCUUUUUGAGAUUCCCUAGAAAACUGAUGUGCAGCCAGGGUGGAGAGCCACUGACCACCAGGAUGGAGUCCAAGCUCCUUCCCACAGCACCCAAGACUUUUCUUGACUGGGCCCCUGCCCACCUCUCCCAUCAGCCUCUCUCCUGGCAUCUCCAUACCUUUAUGUCCCAGAAACACUGAGCCGCUUACAGUUCCCGCCACCACACCAUUGCUCAUCUGUUCCCGAACCUGAAACACCCUCCUUAUUGGCCCAGCAUCACCUUCUACAGGAACCCAUGCCUGAUGCAUCACCUCAGCACCUUCCCUCACUCCCCGGUGCUCCAUAAAACCUUGGGUGUGCCUCUGUUACUGAACAUCCACAUUAUUCUGUGGUGAUUUAUGUACCCAUCUUCCUCAAGCAAAAGAGAGAGAUUAUUUCCAUAGGGUUACUUCAUGGAGCCCUAAGCUGCUCAUACUAUAGAUGGGCCUCUCAAUCAUGGGGACCCUGAAUUUGGAAAGCUGCUUGGAAUCAAGGCACUUCUUCUCAGUCACCUUCUCACUGGGGUUAUAUGGGCUCUGCUGUCUCUUUAUUGCUUCUGGAUCUUCUUGGCAGACAACAUUCUCUACCUGUAUGUGCCAGAUGGGCCCCAAAUGGCCACUCCAUAAAGGCAGGCUCAGCUCCUCAAUGUACAUGUUUUCAC